rnacentral:rRNA from 1 species
AUGUACCCGUGCUGGCCUGGGCUACUCAGCACCAACGCCGCCGCCGUAGACAUGCUGUCAAGGCUGUCCGAGAGGUUCAACCAGCUCGUCUGCGGCGUCCUGCCGACGGACGGCGCCGUCGUCGACAGCGGCAGGUUGAUCUCCCCGCUGCUGUUCGCGUCCGGAAGGUCGGCGGAGCAGCCCGGAUGCCUGUCGAGUCCAUCUGUCGUCGAGUUCACGCGGGAGACCGAUGGUGACGCGGAGGCCGAGCUGCCGUGCCUGGCGUUCGGGUCGGAGGACGGCUUCCAGGUUUUCUCCUUCGCCGAGAACCGCAUGCGCAGCGACGACGUCGUGAUGCGGCUGUCCCGCGGGAGCCGGCACGUGCCGUCCCCGCACGGAGGGAAGGUGUUCGUCACGGACAUGUGGGGCCGCCACCAGUGCCACCUCGUCGACCCGUUCACGGGCGAGCGGACGCCGCUCCCCGACCUGCCCAUCCCGCUCUCGGAGGAGGAGCCGAUGCCGGCGAUGAUCGGAACUGACCGGAGCGAGCCCCGGUACCGCCUGUCGACCGACGACGGGUUCGCGUGGGACUGGUCCCCGCGGGGCGUCAUGGUUGCGCGCGGCGACACGGCGUUCUUCUGUAGGACAGGAGCCGGCGAUUGGACGCCGGUGCACCGGUCCAGCCACGGCUCGGCCAUGACCGUGAACUACCGCGGCGGCUUCUUCUUCGUGCUCGAGCUGGGGUCGCUGCGCACCGCCGUGAUCGACGCCGAGACCCUGGAUCACUCGGCCGAGAUCGACCCGCCGCCUCGCCGUGGCGGCAAAGUCCACCUGGCGUUCCUCGUGACCUCCACGGACAACGUGCUCCUGCUGGUGAGCCACGACGGGUACAGGUCGACCUUCACCCACGCGUACCGCGCGCACAGGCCGCGGCAGGACGGGCCCAUCCAGUGGGAGCCGGUGAAGAACAUCGGCGAUCGCGCGGUGUUCGUCGACGGUGCGCACGGCUUCACCGUCCGUGCCGGCGGGCGCGUGAGGAAGAACUGCGUGUACGUGCCCAAGACCGUGGAACUGGACGACGGGGAACAUGGCGACAUGGCGCGCGUCGUCACCGUGUCUCCGUUGAACAACCUGAGGAAGGUGAAGGUGGCGGAGGGGGGUGAGGCGCUAAGGCGCUGCAAGAACAUCGGCGACCGCGCAGUGUUCGUCGACGGCGCGCAUGGCUUCACCGUCCGCGCCGGCGGGCGCGUAAGGAGGAACUGUGUGUAUGUGCCCAAGACCGUGGAGCUGGACGACGGGGAACAUGGCGACAUGGCGCGAGUCGUCACCGUGUCUCCGUUGAACAACAUGAGGAAGGUGAAGGUGGCGGAGGGGGGUCGUUCAUGCAUUACUCCAUUCGUUGAAGUACAUGACCUGCUCCUCCUAAGAUGUCCUAGAGCGGUGGCAUUUCGGCAAGUGAUGGCGGAUCCCCUUGGCGGCGUGGUUUCAGCGGACGGCCUCGAAGUGCCUUGCGCGAACACUUUGCGACCUGCCGGACAUGGAGGGAUGGGAGCUUAUGAUGACACUAUAGUGCUGCCCCCAGUCGAUGUUCGCAACGAGAUAACACACCAUAAGCAACAACCAUUGGAGGCCGAACUCUCAGCUUGCAUGGAGGGCAUCAACCUCGCCCUGCAAUGGACGAAGAUGUCGAUAGAAGUGGAGACGGACUGCCUUGUCGCUCUUAACAUGAUCAAUGGUCCAAACAGGAACCGGUCUCGUUAUGCCAUGUUGGUUGAUCAAAUCCAAAGGCUUUUGAGGGAAGGUAGAAUGUUCAAGCUAUUUCAUGUUCGUAGGGAACAGAAUGGUGUAAGCCAUUAUCUGGUCUCAUUUGGCCGGACAGAAGGUCGCACUGUGGUGUGGCUGGGUUCGGGACAAGAAGACGUCCCUGAUAUUUGUAAGAACAACUUAUGUCCUGAUUGA